rnacentral:rRNA from 1 species
GGAGAGCACUACCUGGAAUGGAAUCCAGGGGCAAGCACAGGAGGGGUACGGCUGGAAAAACCGCCGUGCAACCCAAAGGUGUGACGCAUACCGAACUAAAGUAGGGAAAUGUGUGAGCCGGCUGCCGAGAAAAGCCGCUAUUGUUUGUACUGUACCCGUACCGUAAACCGACACAGGUGGAUGAGGAGAGAAUCCUAAGGCCGACGGAAGAAGCAUUGCUAAGGAACUCGGCAAAAUGACCCUGUAACUUCGGGAGAAAGGGUGCCUCGAAAGAGGCCGCAGAGAAUAGGCCCAAGCAACUGUUUAGCAAAAACACAGGUCUAUGCAAAACCGCAAGGUGAAGUAUAUGGGCUGACGCCUGCCCGGUGCUGGAAGGUUAAGGGGAGAUGUCAGGAGACGAAGCAUCGAACUUAAGCCCCAGUAAACGGCGGCCGUAACAAUAACGGUCCUAAGGUAGCGAAAUUCCUUGUCGGGUAAGUUCCGACCCGCACGAAAGGCGUAAUGAUUUGGGCGCUGUCUCGGCAAUGCAUCCGGUGAAAUUGAAGUGCCAGUGAAGAUGCUGGCUACCCGCGCCAGGACGGAAAGACCCCAUGGAGCUUUACUCCAGCUUGAUACUGGGAUUCGGUAUUGUAUGUACAGGAUAGGUGGGAGGCUGAGAAAUGGUGACGCCAGUCGCCAUGGAGCCGCUGUUGGGAUACCACCCUUGCAGUACUGGAUUUCUAACCAGCAGCCGUGAUCCGGCUGGGGGACAAUGCCAGGUGGGGAGUUUGACUGGGGCGGUCGCCUCCGAAAGGGUAUCGGAGGCGCUCAAAGGUUCCCUCAGAAUGGUCGGAAACCAUUCGAAGAGUGCAAAGGCAGAAGGGAGCUUGACUGCGACACCGACGGGUGGGGCAGGUACGAAAGUAGGACUUAGUGAUCCGGUGGUAUUAAGUGGGAAUGCCAUCGCUCAACGGAUAAAAGCUACCCUGGGAUAACAGGCUUAUCACUCCCAAGAGUUCACAUCGACGGAGUGGUUUGGCACCUCGAUGUCGGCUCAUCGCAUCCUGGGGCUGUAGUAGGUCCCAAGGGUUGGGCUGUUCGCCCAUUAAAGCGGUACGCGAGCUGGGUUCAGAACGUCGUGAGACAGUUCGGUCCCUAUCCGGCGUGGGCGUAGGAUAUUUGAGAGGAGCUGACCUUAGUACGAGAGGACCGGGUUGGACUGACCUCUGGUGCACCGGUUGUCAUGCCAAUGGCACAGCCGGGUAGCCAAGUCGGGAAGGGAUAAACGCUGAAGGCAUCUAAGCGUGAAGCCCCCCUCAAGAUGAGAUAUCCCCCGCAUAAGCGGUAAGACCCCUUGAAGACGACGAGGUAGAUAGGGCAGAGGUGGAAGUGCAGUAAUGUAUGGAGCUGACUGCUACUAAUAGGUCGAAGGCUUAA